rnacentral:tRNA from 1 species
GGUUCUGUGGUGUAACGGUUAGCCCUCUGGACUCUGACUCUACUAGUCUGAGUUCAAAUCUCUGCAGAGCCU